rnacentral:rRNA from 1 species
GUCUAUGGCCAUACCACCCUGAACGCGCCCGAUCUCAUCUGGUCUUGGAAGCUAAGCAGGGUCUGGCCUGGUUAGUACUUGGAUGGGAGAAAAUGAUGAUGGAAGUAUACA